GUUUGGUAUAUCCUCUGCCUGGAUUGGACGAUAACAUUUCCAUGAUGUAUUACUAUUGGUAGACACAUAUGUCAAUCACUCAUGGCACGCAAUGAAUACAUCUUGGAGAGUAGUUGUCUGUAUCUACGGCAGCGAAUGAGAGGGGUGAACACCAUGACCACACGAGGGCAGUGAUGUCCAUUAUUUUCCAGACUGACCGUUACAAGAACUGCAUUUUGUUCGGGGGCAAAACACGUUAACAGGUUUAACAAAAGCAUGUGGACAGUAGUUGGCAUGUUGGCCUCUGUGUGCCCCACUGAUGAGAAAAUGCAGAUUAUCCAUCCAGAUGAGUGGCUACCACCUUCCCCGUUCUUGGCUGUGGUUGGAACAAUGACAGUGUUAAUAGGACUGACAACAUUACUACUGAUGGUCAAAAGGGACCGGCGGCUGCUGAUCCACAGAGGAAUACACAAGCCCCUCUAGGAAAAUGCUCGAUUCACCUAUCCUCUCCUUUCACCAGGAUGCACGCACACAGAACCUUCUGUCCUCAUCCAUUUUGGAUAGUGUGUCUGGGAGGUGCAUAGGAGUGUCUGGGAGGUGCAUAGGAGUGUCUGGGAGGUGCAUAAGUGUCUGGGAGGUGCAUAAGUGUCUGGGAGGUGCAUAAGUGUGUCUGGGAGGUGCAUAGGAGUGUCUGGGAGGUGCAUAGGAGUGUCUGGGAGGAGCAUAGGAGUGUCUGGGAGGAGCAUAGGAGUGUCUGGGAGGUGCAUAGGAGUGUCUGGCAGGUGCAUAGGAGUGUCGUUGGCAACCUCAUCUGACUACAGAAAAUCACUCAAGCUUUGUCAUUCAAGUUAAGUUUAGUGAUAAAAAUGACUUGUGGUACUACAGUAUUUGGGUAAACUGUCAUUAGUAUGAAGUUAUAUCGUUUUGGCUGGGAUUCAACUCGUUCAGUAUUCAAAACAGGUACUAUAGGUUGUGUUUGGGAUGGCUCUCUAUUUCUCUCUGUACCUAUAGGGCAGGAAAUGUCGACUUUGCGAGGAUUUCAAAGUCCUACUUGAGUUGUUAGUUAGUGCUUAUUGUAUGCAAACCUUUGGAGUAUGUGCAUAAAUCCUAAUGUGUGGCCGAUCUGAUAAGACCGGGUAUAUGUAACUGAGAUUAGGUCAUAUCAUAAAGAGUGUGUUUUUGUCCAGCCAAAUACAAAUAUGAGAAACAUUUGGAUGAUGCAUCUAAUUCCACAUCUAUCUCAGUAGUUUCAUUGCAUAUUGUCCAGAACAGUCAUGAUUGUAAAGAAGAUGGGAUAAUACAUGAUGACAAUUUAAAGGCCAGCUGGCUCUUGUCUGCCUCGUUGAUCCUUAUGCCACAUGUAAGUAAAGUAAGCCUUGUCGGAGCCUGUUUCUAUAGUGGGAGGCAUCUUGGUCUACAAGUACAUAUACACCCUAUGGACGCAGGUUGACAUUUGUCAUGAGUCUUGCCCUGGAGGCAGAACUGAGCGGUUUCUACUAGAUGGGCCAGCUGCCAAGUGAAAAUUGGCUAUCUCAUAAAAAUCUAUAAAAAACAAGAAUGGGCUUUUUUGAUCUUAAUUUAAGGUUAAGCAUUAGGGUUAGCAGUGUGGGUGA